rnacentral:rRNA from 1 species
AACGAACGCUGGCGGCAGGCCUAACACAUGCAAGUCGAACGCUGUAGCAAUACAGAGUGGCAGACGGGUGAGUAACGCGUGGGAACCUUCCCAGUGGUGCGGAAUAGCUCAGGGAAACUUGAGGUAAUACCGCAUAAGCCCUUAGGGGGAAAGAUUUAUCGCCAUUGGAUGGGCCCGCGUCGGAUUAGCUAGUUGGUGAGGUAAUGGCUCACCAAGGCAACGAUCCGUAGCUGGUUUGAGAGAAUGACCAGCCACACUGGGACUGAGACACGGCCCAGACUCCUACGGGAGGCAGCCUGAGACGCCAAGGCACACAGGGGAUAGG